rnacentral:rRNA from 1 species
CCUACGGGUGGCAGCAGUGAGGAAUAUUGGUCAAUGGCCGAAAGCCUGAACCAGCCAAGUCGCGUGCGGGAUGACGGCCCUACGGGUUGUAAACUUCUUUUAUAGGGGAGCAAAGCGCCUUACGUGUCCCGCUUUGCAUGUACCCUGUGAAUAAGCACCGGCUAAUUCCGUGCCAGCAGCCGCGGUAAUACGGAAGGUCCGGGCGUUAUCCGGAUUUAUUGGGUUUAAAGGGUGCGUAGGCCGGCUUUUAAGCGUGCUGUUAAAUGUCCGGGCGCAACCCCGGCCGAGCAGCGCGAACUGGCGGGCUUGAGUGCGCGGGAGGUAGGCGGAAUGCGUAGUGUAGCGGUGAAAUGCUUAGAUAUGGCGAAGAACCCCGAUUGCGAAGGCAGCUUGCUGGAGGGGAACUGACGCUGAGGCACGAAAGCGUGGGUAUCGAACAGGAUUAGAUACCCGUGUAGUC